rnacentral:rRNA from 1 species
UACGUAGGGUGCAAGCGUUGUCCGGAAUUAUUGGGCGUAAAGGGCUCGUAGGCGGUCCAUCACGUCGGGAGUGAAAAGCUGGGGCUUAACCCCAGUCCUGCUUCCGAUACGGGUGGACUAGAGGUAGGCAGGGGAGAACGGAAUUCCUGGUGUAGCGGUGAAAUGCGCAGAUAUCAGUAAGAACACCCGUGGCGAAGGCGGCUCUCUGGGACGGUACUGACGCUGAGACGCGAAAGCGUGGGGAGCGAACAGG